ACACCAACAGAAAAUCAGGACAUCAUUAAUUCUCUACACUUAUUGAUUUGGAACCUCCAUUGAAGCAGCAAGAAGCUCAGCACAGAAAUAAAACUGUCCUGGUGAGUCGCUCACAGCCUGUCCCAGUAACUGUUCCGGAGCGUCAGCCUGACGCAGCACCCCUGGAGGACCACGCCGUGCGGGCUGCGAGCCUCGCCCUUAACCAUGCCCAGCAGGACCAGAGCCGCCAGCACAAAUCAAGGUCCUGGCCAUUGAACAACUUCUGAGCCUGCACUUUAAGAAGGCGCUCUUGUUUUGAAUACGUAAUCUGUCCUGUUCUUUCAAAGUAGAUCUUGGUCAAGAAUGUCUCCAAAGCUGGAUUAAGCCAGUGUAAUUGAAUGGGAAUAUAGACAACCAGGACAGACUCAGAUUUUUUUUUAAUGUAUUGGCCCAGGAAGGCUAGAAAUCCUCCACUUGACCUAACAGAAGAUAAUUAGAAUUAAAAAUGGCACUAACUGAAA
rnacentral:sRNA from 1 species